GUUUCAUCCCACAUGGGCACGAAACAUACCACAUUUUACGGAGGAUGUAGCCCCAGAGAAGAGGGAGGUGGAGAAGCAUAAAUGAAAGGCACCUUUUCCUUCCUCUAGAAGGUAAAUAAUUAUAAAAUAUGCACAGAGAAUUUCUGACCUUGUGACGUUUGGGAGUGAGGAGAUCCCAUACAGAGGCAUCCAGGUAUUUCCAGAGAUCCUGUGGCAGGUGAGGUCUGCCCUCGCUGGAGCCAACUCGUCUAUAAUAUCUUCCUAACAGCAGAUACCAUAGAGGAGAGGUCGAGGUCCUUCCACUGAAGCACCAAGUGGGGUAUAUAAAGCCACACUGCCCAUGAGGGCUGUGGUGUGAGUCUGCUAGCCGUGAGAGACAGAUGCAUUACAAAGGGAUGGAUUUAGUGCACUCUUUCCUCUCUUACUCACAGCCUGAACAGCCAGUGAACAAUGAAACAAAACUUCUUCCCAAGCCUCAAUGAGGAUUGUGCCAUAGUUUGAAGGUAGGAGAAUUUCAAGCCAUUAAUCGUCUAUGAAUACUGAAUACCAGUGAGAAUGGCUCCUUCAGGUCUAUCAGCUUAUUGCUGCUUCUGUG
rnacentral:lncRNA from 10 species